rnacentral:lncRNA from 1 species
CCCUUAUCCCCUAGAGAGUUGUUUCUAGUUUCUACCCAUGAACAGAAUGCCUUGGAGAUAAUAGCUUGUCAAACAACCAGCAAUCCUUAAGGGUGCGUUUGGUUACACCUUUUGAUUUUUGAUUUUCAAAAAGUAUUUUUUAUUUUUUUAUUUUUGCUAUUGAGUAAAAGCAAAAAAGUAAAAAAUAUAUUUGGUAACUAUAUUGCUGUAGAGCAAAAAGCAACAUUUGAGGAUGGC